UACGUAGGUGGCAAGCGUUGUCCGGAUUUACUGGGCGUAAAGGAUGCGUAGGCGGACAUUUAAGUCAGAUGUGAAAUACCCGAGCUUAACUUGGGUGCUGCAUUUGAAACUGGGUGUCUAGAGUGCAGGAGAGGUAAGUGGAAUUCCUAGUGUAGCGGUGAAAUGCGUAGAGAUUAGGAAGAACACCAGUGGCGAAGGCGGGUUGCUGGGCUGACACUGACGCUGAACUGCGAAAGCUAGGGGAGCGAACGGG
rnacentral:rRNA from 1 species